rnacentral:rRNA from 1 species
UACGGGGGGGGCAAGCGUUGUUCGGAAUUACUGGGCGUAAAGGGCUCGUAGGCGGCCAACUAAGUCAGACGUGAAAUCCCUCGGCUUAACUGGGGAACUGCGUCUGAUACUGGAUGGCUUGAGUUUGGGAGAGGGAUGCGGAAUUCCAGGUGUAGCGGUGAAAUGUGUAGAUAUCGGAAGGAACACCAGUGGCGAAGGCGGCAGCCUGGCUUUAUACUGACACUGAGGCGCGAAGGCGUGGGGAGCAAACAGG